AUGCUCGCGACCACCAUGGCUCAGCCUUUUUUUCCGCCCGUCACCAACUUUCCAAUAAAUAAAAAGAAGAAUCUUGGGUUUUGCAAGCUGCUAUUCGAGACACCAUCCGGCUUCGCAAUUUUCACUUUUGAUAUGCGCUACCUCCACAAAGAUAUUGAGGACACCUGGACCUACUUCGUGGGCAACUAUUGGCACUUACUUUUCCUCAAGAUGCACGCUUUCCGUAGGUUCGAGGAUAAGUCUGAUGCCAUCAACCUCUCCACCAGGCGAGUAGGCCCCCGAAUGAUCUCACUGAUCUGCAAGUACUGCCUCCCUGGAGAACUAAUCAUUGUUGGAAGCCUCGAAUAUAAAUUAAUUCUCCAAGAGAAUAUGAGGCGCGCCUGUUCGUACAAUGACAUAGUGAGGGAGAUUAUGUGGGGUAUGCAGAAUCUCAUGCCUCUUUUAAUCCCUCAAGAACAAUCUGUGUUCACAAAAGCGGACCGGCUCCCCAUAUGCAAAGGAUUGGAUAUGCUUUUAUCUCGACACGGCAUUGAUAAUGUCAAGCAAGAGUGGAUUAAUGAAGAUAUUCUUCAGCUGGCUCUCAAGGUGUAUCAUGUUGAUUUACGUGAAAAUGAACAUUCAAAAUUCUUGCGCAGAAGUCUUGGUCUUGAUAAGCAUCUGAAGGCCAUUUCUGGAUUUGAUGCAAAGGAUUGGGAUUUAGUCAAACUUGCAACAGUGCUGAAGACAAUGGUCGAUCCUGAUGAUACACGUCUUCCAAUUGCCAAAGCUUUCGAGAUGUUCUCGCGUGAGGAGGCUAAAUUGAUCGAGCUUGAUGCACCUAAAUAUGAAGAUCUGUUAGACAGGGACACAAUCUCAGAAAUCUAUGAUGACAUUGUUGCUUUCCGUGAAUACGUGGACAAAGUGCUGUUGAAAUUGCGCCACUUGCUUAAGAAGGCUGAAGCAGCAGUGGAAACUGAAGAUGUGCUGGAGAAAGCUGCAACAAAUGGUGUUGACUCCAUGAAGCAAGUUGACCAUACAUGUUUAGCAGUGGACCUGGAAGUACGCAACCAACAAUGUAAUAUCACAGGUGAGAAUUCUGAGCUCUUGGUUGUGUGA
rnacentral:rRNA from 1 species